rnacentral:rRNA from 1 species
GACGAACGCUGGCCGGCGCGCCUAUACAUGCAAGUAGACCGCUGAAGAAGAGGAGCUGCUCUUCUUGGAUGAGUUGCGAACGGGUGAAGUAACGCGUAGGUAACCCUGCCCUGGUAGCGGGGAUAACUUAUUGAAACGAUAGCUUAAUACCGCAUGAAAUGGAUUAUCGCAUGAUAAUUCAUUGAAAGGUGCAAAUGCAUCACUACCAGAUGGACCUGCGUUGUAUUAGCUAGUUGGUGGGGUAACGGCUCACCAAGGCGACGAUACAUAGCCGACCUGAGAGGGUGAUCGGCCACACUGGGACUGAGACACGGCCCAGACUCCUACGGGAGGCAGCAGUAGGGAAUCUUCGGCAAUAGACGGAAGUCUGACCGAGCAACGCCGCGUGAGUGAAGAAGGUUUUCGGAUCGUAAAGCUCUGUUGUAAGAGAAGAACGAGUGUGAGAGUGGAAAGUUCACACUGUGACGGUAUCUUACCAGAAAGGGACGG